rnacentral:misc_RNA from 1 species
CUGAGUACUACACUCUCUACCCUUUGUGAACUAUUAUACCUGUUGCUUCGGCGGCGCCCGCAAGGGUGCCCGCCGGUCUCAUCAGAAUCUCUGUUUUCGGACCCGACGAUACUUCUGAGUGUUCUUAGCGAACUGUCA